rnacentral:rRNA from 1 species
UACAGGGGGUGCAAACGUUGUUCGGAAUUAUUGGGCGUAAAGCGCGUGUAGGCGGCUUUGCAAGUCGGGUGUGAAAGCCCUCAGCUUAACUGAGGAAGUGCGCCCGAAACUGCAGAGCUUGAAUACCGGAGAGGAUGGCGGAAUUCCCCAAGUAGAGGUGAAAUUCGUAGAUAUUGGGAAGAACACCGGUGGCGAAGGCGGCGACCUGGUCCGAUACUGACGCUGAGGCGCGAAAGCGUGGGGAGCAAACAGG